CCUGUUCCUCACUUGGGCACUCUUCUCGUGAGAGAAAGCUAAAUCAGCAACGUCUGGGUGAACAACGGUGGGGGCUUUUGGCACACCUGUUCCUCACUUGGGCACUCUUCUCGUGAGAGAAAGCUAAGUCAGCAACGUCUGGGUGAACAACGGUGGGGGCUUUUGGCACAAGUCAGACAAAACCAAGGUCGCCUCUACCAGCACCUCGCGCCUUGGUACAGACUGUACAGGCCUCAGAGAAAGGGUCAGACACCUGUUUUAACAGAACU